GCCAACGACCAUACCACGUUGAAUACACCAGUUCUCGUCCGAUCACUGAAGUUAAGCAACGUCGGGCGUAGUUAGUACUUGGAUGGGUGACCGCUUGGGAACACUACGUGCCGUUGGCAUUC
rnacentral:rRNA from 1 species